GACGAACGCUGGCGGCGUGCCUAAUACAUGCAAGUCGAACGCUUUUUCUUUCACCGGAGCUUGCUCCACCGAAAGAAAAAGAGUGGCGAACGGGUGAGUAACACGUGGGUAACCUGCCCAUCAGAAGGGGAUAACACUUGGGAACAGGUGCUAAUACCGUAUAACACUAUUUUCCGCAUGGAAGAAAGUUGAAAGGCGCUUUUGCGUCACUGAUGGAUGGACCCGCGGUGCAUUAGCUAGUUGGUGAGGUAACGGCUCACCAAGGCAACGAUGCAUAGCCGACCUGGGAGGGUGAGCGGCCACACGGGGACUGAGACACGGCCCAGACUCCUACGGGAGGCAGCAGUAGGGAAUCUUCGGCAAUGGACGAAAGUCUGACCGAGCAACGCCGCGUGAGUGAAGAAGGUUUUCGGAUCGUAAAACUCUGUUGUUAGAGAAGAACAAGGAUGGGAGUAGAACGUUCAUCCCUUGACGGUAUCUAACCAGAAAGCCACGGCUAACUACGUGCCAGCCGCCGCCGUAA
rnacentral:rRNA from 1 species